AGGCCGUGAUGGGGACACUUGCGUAAUAGUUCCUUGAACCUUUCCCAAGUUUCAUAUAAGGAUUCCCCAUCCUCUUGUGAGUAUGUAUUAAUUUCAGCCAUUAAUUU
rnacentral:snoRNA from 2 species